rnacentral:rRNA from 1 species
GACGAACGCUGGCGGCGUGCCUAAUACAUGCAAGUCGAGCGCCGAAGGUUGGUACUUGUUCCAACCGGAUGAGCAGCGAACGGGUGAGUAACGCGUGGGGAAUCUGCCUAUGAGCGGGGGACAACAUUUGGAAACGAAUGCCAAUACCGUAUAAUAACUUUAAACACAAGUUUUAAGAUUGAAAGAUGCUAUUGCUUCACUCAAAGAUGAGCUCGCGUCUUAUUAGCUAGUUGGUGAGGUAAAGGCCCACCAAGGCGACGAUAAAUAGCCGACCUGAGAGGGGGACCGGCCACAUUGGGACUGAGAUACGGCCAAAACUCCUACGGGAGGCAGAAGAGAAGAAUAUCCCGAAAUGGACGGAAUCUGGACGGAGCAACGCCGCGGGGUGGAAGAAGUUUUAAGAUCGGUAAAAUCCUUUUGUUGAGGAAGAAGAAGGGGGGAAGGGAAUGCUCAUCUGGUGACGGUAACUGACCAGAAAGCCACGGCUAACUACGUG